rnacentral:rRNA from 1 species
UACGUAGGCAGCAAGCGUUGUUCGGAGUUACUGGGCGUAAAGGGUGUGUAGGCGGUUGGAUAAGUGUGGUGUGAAAUCUCCCGGCUCAACUGGGAGGGUGCGCUACAAACUGUCUGACUAGAGUGUGGGAUGGGUAAGUGGAAUUCCUGGUGUAGCGGUGAAAUGCGUAGAUAUCAGGAGGAACACCGGUGGUGUAGACGGCUUACUGGACCAUAACUGACGCUGACACACGAAAGCGUGGGUAGCAAACAGG